AAAGUGCUGAAAGCCUGCUGUAAGAGGGGGGAAUUGUGGGCACCAGAGAUGCUCCAGCUCAGUCAAGAUGAAGGUCAGGGAGAAGCUUACAGAAGGCGACAGAGGAAUGAACAACACAUCAGAUACAGAUACAGACACUGACAAAACAGAUGUUUUUGACGUCAUAGAACAGCCAACCAAGUCCUGAUCCGUUUUUGCCUUUGUAAACAUUGCUUGAAACUCAUUAGCUCUCAAAUUUACAAUCUUUCAUUUACUCUGCUCCCUGUAUGCUUUUGCUGUUUUUCUUUCUCUGCUCCAUCGAAGUGCUCAUAGGUGAGGGAAGCUAAAGUUUGCAGUCCUUUGUGGACGUAAACAGACAAGGAUGCACCAAGACAGACUUCAAAAAUAAAUUGCGUUUUUAUAGUGAGUGUAUUACAGCUGAUCGUUAUACAAGAUUUCAUGUUCUUCUCUGAGCAUGGUCAGCUGUUCUCCAGUCAUUUUAUGAAUUCAAAGUCCUGUACCAUAAUUCACGUACUCUUAUUUGUGAAAUUAUUGCUGAAUCGUAGUCCAUCCAUUUUGAACUGAGUGUGACCUGACAACACUAACAUAUUUGUGUUCGUUUAUAAACCUAGAAGUGUUUUUUUG